CCUACGGGGGGCAGCAGUGGGGAAUAUUGCGCAAUGGGCGAAAGCCUGACGCAGCGACGCCGCGUGAGGGAUGAAGGUCUUCGGAUCGUAAACCUCUGUCAGCAGGGAAGAACGGUCACUGUGCUAAUCAGCAGUGAAUUGACGGUACCUGCAAAGGAAGCACCGGCUAACUCCGUGCCAGCAGCCGCGGUAAUACGGAGGGUGCGAGCGUUAAUCGGAAUUACUGGGCGUAAAGCGCUCGUAGGCGGUAUGUCAAGUCAAGGGUGAAAUCCCCGGGCUCAACGUGGGAACUGCCUUUGAAACUGGCAAACUGGAGUGUGUGAGAGGAUAGCGGAAUUCCAGGUGUAGGAGUGAAAUGCGUAGAUAUCUGGAGGAACAUCAGUGGCGAAGGCGACUAUCUGGCACAUAACUGACGCUGAGGAGCGAAAGCGUGGGGAGCAAACAGGAUUAGAUACCCCUGUAGUC
rnacentral:rRNA from 1 species